UACGUAGGGUGCAAGCGUUGUCCGGAAUUAUUGGGCGUAAAGAGCUCGUAGGCGGUUUGUCACGUCGGCUGUGAAAACCUAGGGCUCAACCCUGGGCCUGCAGCCGAUACGGGCAAACUAGAAUUCGGUAGGGGAGACUGGAAUUCCUGGUGUAGCGGUGAAAUGCGCAGAUAUCAGGAGGAACACCGGUGGCGAAGGCGGGGUCUCUGGGCCGAUAUUGACGCUGAGGAGCGAAAGCGUGGGGAGCGAACAGG
rnacentral:rRNA from 1 species